UAGCUAGUUGGUGGGGUAACGGCUCACCAAGGCGACGAUCCCUAGCUGGUUUGAGAGGAUGAUCAGCCACACUGGAACUGAGACACGGUCCAGACUCCUACGGGAGGCAGCAGUGGGGAAUAUUGGACAAUGGGCGCAAGCCUGAUCCAGCCAUGCCGCGUGUGUGAAGAAGGCCUUCGGGUUGUAAAGCACUUUCAGCGAGGAGGAAGGGUGGUGUUUUAAUAGAACAUCAUUUUGACGUUACUCGCAGAAGAAGCACCGGCUAACUCUGUGCCAGCAGCCGCGGUAAUACAGAGGGUGCAAGCGUUAAUCGGAAUUACUGGGCGUAAAGCGCACGUAGGCGGUUUCUUAAGUCAGAUGUGAAAGCCCCGGGCUCAACCUGGGAAUUGCAUUUGAAACUGGGGAACUAGAGUGUGUGAGAGGGGGGUAGAAUUCCAAGUGUAGCGGUGAAAUGCGUAGAGAUUUGGAGGAAUACCNANNGUGGCGAAGGCGGCCCCCUGGCACAACACUGACGCUCAGGUGCGAAAGCGUGGGGAGCAAACAGGAUUAGAUNNACCCUGGUAGUCCACGCCGUAAACGAUGUCUACUAGCUGUUCGUGACCUUGUGUUGUGAGUAGCGCAGCUAACGCAUUAAGUAGACCGCCUGGGGAGUACNGGUCGCAAGAUUAAAACUCAAAUGAAUUGACGGGGGCCCGCACAAGCGGUGGAGCAUGUGGUUUAAUUCGACGCAACGCGAAGAACCUUACCUACUCUUGACAUCUAGCGAAGAUUGCAGAGAUGCAGUUGUGCCUUCGGGAACGCUAAGACAGGUGCUGCAUGGCUGUCGUCAGCUCGUGUUGUGAAAUGUUGGGUUAAGUCCCGCAACGAGCGCAACCCUUAUCCUUAGUUGCCAGCUCGUAUUGGUGGGAACUCUAGGGAGACUGCCGGUGAUAAACGGGAGGAAGGUGGGGACGA
rnacentral:rRNA from 1 species